AACCAUAGAAACCUGCGGAGUACCUGCGGAGGGAUCAUUAGCGUAGUUCAUGUGGCUCCGGCCGCAGUCUGCACACCCUUGAUUUUGUAUACCACCGUUCUCUCCACCGGCUUGGGUGAUUCCAGCCGGUGGCGACACCCUCAAACCCCUGUAGUGAACAGUACCGUCAGUCAAUCUUUAAACAAAUUACAACUUUUAACAAUGGAUCU
rnacentral:misc_RNA from 1 species